GGUAUAUGCAAAUACAGUACAGACUAUAAGAUUUAUUACUUCCUUAUAUUACGUUAUUCUGACAAUGGAAAGAUAAGCUUUUGCAUACGUCUGGAAAAGAAUAUCCUUAAAAUCGGAAUGGGCAAGACAUCCUGAAAUUUAGCAUUGUCUUACAUCCUAUAGAAGAAAUACCUUAGUCUGUCACAGUCAGCAUAUUAUGUCGUACAUUGAGUUUAAGUAUUCAAUAUCCUUUCAGUCAGCAAUAAUCAUGUUAUAAACCUUAUAAAAGCAUAAAAUACAUAUAAACAAGUUAACUAUUUAAUAUUCUUACAUUCCCCUCUUUGAGCAAUAAAACAAUUGCUCAUCUUAUCGAUAAAAUCUUACCAGGACAGAGGAACUUCCACAUGGUAUUUUCAGGGGUGCUAGUCACUCCCUGCAGGACUUUCAUUAAUUUCUUCACCUCGAUUCCCAUGUGGUAAUUCCUAAGGCCCAGUUUAAAGAUGGGUUGAUACUCUACAGUGGCAGAGAGGAGAAUUUCUAAUUGUUUCUGUUCUGCAUUAUGGAUUCAUUUCUGUACUCUCUUCCUCAAUGUACAAGUAAGGUGACAGUUAUAUAAAAUCAUACACAAUAAAAUCAGGACUAUAAUAACAAAAUGAUAGAAGAAUGAUUUCAUUAUCUGAGAUCCAGUAGGGGACCAACCAGUAAAGCAUUGUACCAAUUAUGGGCUGAAUCAUUCUGAAUUUGUGAACUCACCUUAAGGAGUUCUCCUUUUAGGAUAUGUGUGGCUACCUGUGUGUGUUAUCUUUGGGAAAAAUAUAGUCCCCUGUGUAUGUGGGUGCCCACCAGGUUAAAUUCUUGGCAAAAAGAUCAUAAACUGGUACUGGCAAUGUGUUAAAUUGACAAGCUAAUUUAACAUCCUUUGAUGAUGUAUGAUAUAAUGUAAAAUAGCAUGAGCAUGAAAAAUGUGAAACAUUACCAGUUAACCAUCCAUUGCAUUUACUGGAUUGGGGUUUUAGAAGUAACCAUUCAUUAUCUGUGAGGUUACGCUUUCCUCUAAUCUUCUCUAGUUUAGGAAUCAUUAGUGUGUUUUCUAAUGCCAAUCCUUGUUGUUGUAUCCAUAAAUACCUGAUGGCACAAGUACUCCAGUUACGAGAUCUGUGGUGAAUUUCAUAGUUGCAACAGUUAAAUUAUCUAAAUAAUUAUACAUUGAUUUAUCUAAAUCCAAUCCUAUAACCUGUGAUUUAACAACAAUUGGAGCCCAAUUUGCAGUAGCAUGAAAACCAGUCCCUAUAUGCAUGCUGGCUGUGUUUAACUUAUUCUUGAGGGUCUCCAUAUCUAUAACUAUUUAGUAUACUCAUAGUGGUUCCAGCACCUCCUAACAGUGUGUCAUACCAUUCCCUUUUCUGCCUUUGUUUGUUGUGUUACAUAAUGUUACAACAGGAGUAGUGAUUUUUAAUGACACAUGUACAGCUUGUAAGAAGGCAGUUGUAUUAACACAUGUGGAUGGAAUAGGUGUGUGUGUCGUUGUUGACUUUUGGUUCUAUGGUAGUGGAUAAAGGACAGUAAUAAGGUAUAAAAAUAUAAGGUAGUGUAUAGUUCUCAAUUGCAGUGUCGUUCAUAAUGACUAACAUUUGUCCCCUUUUCCAAUUAAUGAUACCAGUUAUAUAAUCAUUAUUAAAAGUAAUAAGGCCUGUCUGUUUACAUUGAUAUGCAACCUUAACUGUGCACAUUUCUGCUUUAUAAGAUCUAACAAUUUUCUGUGAACCUUUAAACAAACAUAAUGCAUCGGUUUCAUUAGCUGUAGACACAUUUCAUAUGGGUAACUGGUACUUAUAAGGGUUACUAUUUGUCCAAUUCAUCCAAAUGCGUUCAGUGAAUGAAUGAUUGCAUAUUACAUGCUGAUAGAAAGGUGGUGGAGAAAGGUUCUUGAGGGAGCGUGUGUGACGAAUGCUAGAUGAGGGGCUAAGGCCUAAUUGGGCUGGGGGUAUUGAAGAAUUGUUCAUCAUGUCAGAGUCUUUUUUCCAGAAACAAACAGGUUUCAAACUUGCCAUUGACUUGUACUCAUAAUGGCAUUCAAGGAACAAUAUCAGAGGGAGUAUAACAACUCCAGAAAGCAUAGCGCACAACAUAAUCUUGGUCUCAGGUACGUAUGAUCCUCUCAAUCUACGAUAUGGUGUAAAAGCCAUGAUGCUUCGCUGAGGAGAAAUUCUUCUGUUUCCGAGCGAGGAGUGGUGUUGUCUUCCUUGGUUCCCCUCUUUGGACACAGCUUCACUCGGGAUGCGUGAAUCCAGAUGUCAUGGGAAUCUGUGAGGACAGCGGUUCUGGGUACAGCAAUCACAGUAGCAGGUGGUCCAAAAGGGUAUCCUCCUUUCUUGGUCCUGUUCAACUGACGGAUAUACACCUUGUCACCGGGCUGGUAUGAAUGAGUAGGUUCCUGUGAAGGUAAGGGAAAACUGCGAAGAAACAUUGUCAUACAUACCAUUCGGUUUUAUCAACAAUUCCUGUACAUAUUGUUCUUGUAUUAGCUGUAAAUCCCCAGACAUUAUAACAAGCGGUUCCCUGGCCCAGGGUGUGGGAAAAGGUCAUCCCAUCAAAAAUCUCAGAUGGAGAUAAUUUAGUCACCUUGUGAGGAAUCACUCUUAUCUCAGCUAAAAUAGCUGGUAGAUAUCUAGUCCAAUUUACCCAUGUUCCUGGGUAAAUUCUGGGCUUUUCCUUAAUAGUCCUAUUCAUCCUUUCAACUACCCCUGUAUUCUGUGGAUGAUAGGGUAUAUGAAACUGCCAGGUAACUUGCAAGAAUUUAGCAAGUUCCUGGGCAACCCCACUGGCAAAAACCGGGCCAUUAUCAGAGCCAAUCUGCAGAGGGCAGCAAUACCGGGGAAUAAUUUCAGUAACAAUAAUCUUCACUAGCAUCUUCCCUAGAUGUCACAAAGGCCUCAUGCCAUCUACUAAACUGAUUAACUAUGACCAGUAAGUAUUGCUGUUUCUUACCAAUUUUGGAUACAUGAAUAAAAUCAAUCUGUAAGUGUGUAAAAAGAGCAGCGUUCACACGAUCUUACAAAAGACUGUACAUGCUGCCUGAGAUUCCUAAUAUAAAAUGAAUUCAUGAAGAAUUGAAUGGUGCUUGCUAUGUGCCUGACUGAUGAAAAUAAAGCAGCUUGCUUCAAGUAUGCCUAUUCUUCAAGUAUGCCUAUUCUCCCCUCUUUAGAGAACAGAUCAUUCUGAUCUUUCUCUAAACCUUGUUUAAUCCAAAAGACAGAUUCUGGGUAUUAAAAAAAGAAUCUCAUAACCACUGAAGCGCUGGGCUGUCAUGUGUUGUGUGGUGAGAUUUGUCAUCAGCUGAGUGACCUGGUGACUGGCAUGAAGUAUUGUAGGAUGCCCUAGUGUGAUAGUAGUAGCAGUUUCAACAGCCAUUGCACAUGCUAUCAAUGCUCUGAGACACGCCGGCAUACCCUGUACCGGAGCUCGAACUACUUUGGAAAAGAAUGCUAUGGGACGCAUACCGCCUCCUUGCUCUUGUGCACAGACCGCGGCCAUGGUUUUACAAUUGUCCCAAGCAUACAAAUGAAAUGGUUUACAAUACACAGGUAGUCCUAAAGCCUGGGCUUGCACAAUAACAACUGUAAGGGCAAUAUAUGCAGAUAGCAUGUCUGGUGACCAGCAGACAUUUUCAGGGCUGUCAGAACGUACAGCCUCCCUUAGGAUUGAGUCAUAAUGGGAGCAUUCAGGGAUCCAUUGGUGGCAGUAAUUAAUCAUGCCGAGGAAGGUGAGCAACUCCUUCCGAGUAGUGGGUGUAGGAAUCCUCUGAAUGACCUCAAUACAUUUUGGACUCAAUUGUCUGGUGCCUAAAGCCAGAACAAAACCUAAGUAUUCAACCUUUGAUUUACACAAUUGCAUUUUGUGUUUAACAACCUUGUAACCCACAGCUGCUGACAGUAUCCACAGUGCUUGCCUCAUAGCUAGGGCUACAUAACAACAAAUCAUCAACAUUUUGCAAAAAGGACGGAACCAUGACCGGUGGUCCAUGUUUUUAGAGUAUGUUGGAGUACCAACGAAUAAACAGCUGGGGAAUCCACAUAGCCUUGGGUAAGCGUGUCCAGGUAAACUGACAGCCUUCAAAAAGUAAAAACCAUAAGUAGCUGUGUCUCUUGAUCAAUAGGUAUAGAAAAAAUGCAUUACUU
rnacentral:lncRNA from 1 species